rnacentral:rRNA from 1 species
AGUGAACGCUGGCGGUAGGCCUAACACAUGCAAGUCGAACGGCAGCACAGGAGAGCUUGCUCUCUGGGUGGCGAGUGGCGGACGGGUGAGGAAUACAUCGGAAUCUACUUUUUCGUGGGGGAUAACGUAGGGAAACUUACGCUAAUACCGCAUACGACCUACGGGUGAAAGCAGGGGAUCUUCGGACCUUGCGCGAUUGAAUGAGCCGAUGUCGGAUCAGCUAGUUGGCGGGGUAAAGGCCCACCAAGGCGACGAUCCGUAGCUGGUCUGAGGGGAUGAGCAGCCACACUGGAAAUGAGACACGGUCCAGACUCCUACGGGAGGCAGCAGUGGGGAAUAUUGGACAAUGGGCGCAAGCCUGAUCCAGCCAUACCGCGUGGGUGAAGAAGGCCUUCGGGUUGUAAAGCCCUUUUGUUGGGAAAGAAAUCCAGCUGGUUAAUACCCGGUUGGGAUGACGGUGCCCAAAGAAUAAGCACCGGCUAACUUCGUGCCAGCCGCCGCGGUAA